CUGCUUUAAACGAUUACAAGCAAUCCAUCACCUUUCAAGUUGUCCAACAUCCUUCUCCACCUAAGGGAUUGGCCAGACGGGUAGUCAAACUAACAUCUUUUAUUAAACUGUCUGUUGUGAUGUGAGAUUUUGCAUGUUUUAGAUGAAAUUAAAGACAUGGAAAGUUGGAUGGCUAUGAAUGUCUAUUUUAAGAGACCAUUACAAUCUGAAAUAUCUUGUACUCCCAGCUGGUUGAUUCGCCACUUCCAUUGGCGGCAGCUUCUAGACCAGUAGAUGAAGGUAAUACAGAAUUGGCUUCAAUACUUAACCCCGUAU